rnacentral:rRNA from 1 species
AUUGAACGCUGGCGGCAUGCCUUACACAUGCAAGUCGAACGGCAGCACGGGAGCAAUCCUGGUGGCGAGUGGCGAACGGGUGAGUAAUACAUCGGAACGUACCCUAGAGUGGGGGAUAACGUAGCGAAAGUUACGCUAAUACCGCAUACGAUCUACGGAUGAAAGUGGGGGAUCGCAAGACCUCAUGCUCAUGGAGCGGC